rnacentral:misc_RNA from 1 species
GGAGCAGGCGGACUACUGCAUAGCCAGGAUGAGACCAUAUAUAGACAAGUCAGGACGACCAGUUCCUGAUAGUUACGACUUCGUAGACUUUACUCAGUCCAUGUUUAUCAACUAAAGCAACAAAAACUUUUAAGAAUCUUUACAACCUUAAGCUUGAACAAUUGUUGGUGGCAUUAAGAUGACUUACUUUUUCUUGCUUUGGAUGUGUAGCUUUUCUGUUAUGGACCUUGAAUCUCUUCCAUAAAACUACAAACCUUUAUGCUUUACAACUUUCUUAGAUGUAAACGGAGUAGAUUUAAUAAAGAGUUUUUAAUAUU